AAUAUGUACAUAAAAUUGACAUGAGUAAUAGGGUCGGUCGAUUUUUGAAUAUUUUCCAUCCGAGCUUCUGGACCUAGCUGAUCCGACUCAGCGAAGUCUAAAGAAAAUUUUGAGACCAAAAAAAAUAUUUCCAAAAAUGUUCUAUGCUUUGCCCAAGACGAUUUUUUGAAAAUCUUCUAGUUUUUCGAGGUAUCAACACUCUAAAAGCUUUCUUGUCUAUGCCAAAAAGUGAAUUGUUGGUAGAACGGUCUUAGUAUAAAAUACGGGGUCUACUCUAAUAAACAAACCCAAAAGACACAUCCUUUUUAUGACGAACAUACUUUUUCCGGGUAAACAAGUUUCGCAGGUUUCCGAUAUUUUUAUUUGAGAGAGGUUUCUUUUGCAGAUUUUUC